rnacentral:rRNA from 1 species
UACGAAGGGGGCUAGCGUUGCUCGGAAUCACUGGGCGUAAAGGGGUGCGUAGGCGGGUCUUUUAAGUCAGGGGUGAAAUCCUGGAGCUCAACUCCAGAACUGCCUUUGAUACUGAGGAUCUUGAGUUCGGGAGAGGUGAGUGGAACUGCGAGUGUAGAGGUGAAAUUCGUAGAUAUUCGCAAGAACACCAGUGGCGAAGGCGGCUCACUGGCCCGAUACUGACGCUGAGGCACGAAAGCGUGGGGAGCAAACAGGG